UUCUUCUUCUUCUUCUUCUUCUUCUUCUUCUUCUUCUUCUCUUUUCCGAUCUCCUUCUUCUUCUUCCUCUUCUUCUUCUUCUUUUUCUUUCUCCUUCCCGAUCUCCUUCUUCUGCUUCUUAAAAUUUUCUCUGAGUGCACUAGUUCCCUUUUAUUUUACUGUUCUUUUUCUUUGUGCUUCAUUGUGAAAAAAAUUUUCUUAAAAUUUUCUCUGAGUGCACCAGUUCCCUUCACUAGUUCCCGAUCUCCUUUUUCUUUGUUUUCAAUACCGUGAAGAGAACAAGAAAAAUUCCUAGUAUCUGAAGAUACAAUUUAUGAUGGUCAUUGCCAUGUUAUAACAUAAAUGACAUACUGUGCAAUUGUAAGGCUCUGCAAUACACUACUUUGACUUGAUAUGUGGCUGAAGCAGAAUGACUGAUAUGUAAAUAUAUUGUUGACAUGAGGAAUAAAUCAGAUCCUGGUUAGUUCCAACAAUGGGCCC
rnacentral:lncRNA from 1 species